rnacentral:lncRNA from 1 species
CAGCUGGCCAAGAACAAAAGUUGUCAUUAGCUGAUGACUGAAGGCAUUGCUGCAAUUAUUCAUGACUGAAAAGAGGAGGUGUAACUUCGAUGGGACAUGGACAAGCAGUGUUCCCACAGAAAACUGUGUAGACAUUCCCUUUCCCUUUGAUGCUCUACACUUGUUCAAGCAGAUCUGAUUCUAGCUACUUCACCUCUGAUGCUCUCAACUUCCUUUUGACAAUGAGCCUCUCUCCGACAACUUUCUUCGCUUCUAUCAUCUUUCUUCAUUCACGUGUAGAAUAGCUUGUGUGGGGGAAACUAUCUUUCAACCCGGUACAUGCAUGAUAAAUGUAUGAACAUGUAAAUUAUAUGAUGAACUCGCCCUUCGAGGGGUGACAUAU